rnacentral:lncRNA from 1 species
AGGCCUCUCCAUCCUGAUAGCGAGGGAGGCCUCAUCGGGUUUGACCCCGGCAUGCUUUGACACCUUUUUCACUGUUGGAAGAUGCUCUGACUUUAAAGUAGAAAGCAGACUUGACUGAAGCUGAUUGACACAGGUCAAGGGGACUUCAAGGAAGAAAGCCAGCCUUAGACUGACAUCAGAGAACCAAACUCCGGUGUCUAAGCUCAAGCAUCUACAUCUCCAUUUAUGCCGUGUGCACGCAGUACCAACAGAGGUCAGAGGAGGGUGUCGGAUCCCCUGGAACUGGAGUCACAGAUUCUUCCUUGCGUGGAUGAAACAGUCCCAACGAACACUUUAAAAAGACAAAUGUUCCCGACAGCACUGGUUGAAUUCAAAACUCGGCAGAUCCAUGUUCUUAUCCUUAGACAAGAGAGGGGCCAUAACAAGAUGGAAUGACGGAACAGACGUGAGAGAUGAUGGUACAGUGACUCGGGUAACCCCAGAAAAGGGACAGCUCUUCUACAGCUCAGUGGGGACAGGGACAAAAAGAAACAAUUUCAUUUCAGUCCACCCAGAGGGUCUGCACUUCUCGGAGCCAGAAGGUGGAGAAGAGUAGGGAUGGAGGAAGUUCGAAGUUUUAGGAGUCUGCUCUUGGGUCCCUAGGCAUGAGGACAAGCUUUUCCUGUACUCAAUGCUCAUCUCUCAGUUGUGCCCACAUUGGUACACAUUACUUGCUUUCAACUGCUGCUGCUGCUGUUUCCUAAUUCAAUAAAGAUAUGGCUGGCUCAGCA